rnacentral:rRNA from 1 species
GCUAACUACGUGCCAGGGGCUGGGGGAAUACGGAGGGGGGUAGCGGUGUCCGGAAUCAUUGGGCGGAAAGCGCGUGUAGGCGGCCCGGUAAGUCCGCUGUGAAAGUCGGGGGCUCAACCCUGGAAAGGCGGUGGAUACUGUCGGGCGCGAGUGCGGAAGAGGCGAGUGGAAUUCCAGGUGUAGCGGUGAAAUGCGCAGAUAUCAGGAGGAACACCGAUUGCGAAGGCAGCUCGCUGGGACGUUACUGACGCUGAGACGCGAAAGCGUGGGGAGCAAACAGGAUUAGAUACCCGAGUAGUC